rnacentral:rRNA from 1 species
AUUGAACGCUGGCGGCAGGCCUAACACAUGCAAGUCGAGCGAGCGGCGGACGGGUGAGUAAUGUCUGGGAAACUGCCUGAUGGAGGGGGAUAACUACUGGAAACGGUAGCUAAUACCGCAUACCAUCAGAUGUGCCCAGAUGGGAUUAGCUAGUAGGUGGGGUAACGGCUCACCUAGGCGACGAUCCCUAGCUGGGCUGAGAGGCUGACCAGCCACACUGUAACUGAGACACGGUCCAGACUCCUACGUGAGGCAGCAGUGGUGAAGAUUGCACAAUGGGCGAAAGCCUGAUGCAGCCAUGCCGCGGGUAUGAAGAAGGCCUUCGGGUUGUAAAGUACUUUCAUCGGGGAGGCGUUACCUGGAGAAGAAGCACCGGCUAACUCCGUGCCAGCAGCCGCGGUAAUAC